rnacentral:lncRNA from 1 species
CGCUGAGUUACACAGAUGUGUAAUCCCUUUCCUUACUUGAUCUGUUCUCCACCUGAAGGUGUGAUUCUUUCUGAUACAGAAUUGAGGUCUCGAGGGAAGGCAGAGCUGUGGUCUAGAAGAAGAUGAGAUUGUUUGGUCUUCUCUUUUGCUUGGUGGUGGCUCCACAAGCUGUCCUGUCCCGUCCCAGGUGCAGCUGCAGGAGUCAGGCCCAGGUCUGGUGAAGCCCUCACACACCCUCUCCCUCAACUAUGCUGUCUCUGGGUUCUCCGUCACAACCAGUGGUCACUGCUGGAGCUGGAUCCACCAGCCCC